UUGAUCAUGGCUCAGAACGUACGCUGGCGGCACGCCUAACACAUGCAAGUCGAACGAAGUAGCAAUACUUAGUGGCAGACGGGUGAGUAACAUGUAGGUAUCUGCCCUAUGGCCUGGAAUAACACGAGGAAACUUGUGCUAAUACCGGAUAAGUCUUUACAGAGAAAGCUUUAUGCACCAUUGGAUGAGCCUGCACUUGAUUAGUUUGUUGGUGGGGUAAUGGCCUACCAAGACUGUGAUCAAUAGCUGAUUUGAGAGGAUGAUCAGCCACAUUGGGACUGAGACACGGCCCAAACUCCUACGGGAGGCAGCAGUGGGGAAUCUUGCACAAUGGAGGAAACUCUGAUGCAGCGAUGCCGCGUGAGUGAAGAAGGCCCUUGGGUUGUAAAGCUCUUUCGUCGGGGAAGAAAAUGACUGUACCCGAAUAAGAAGGUCCGGCUAACUUCGUGCCAGCAGCCGCGGUAAUACGAAGGGACCUAGCGUAGUUCGGAAUUACUGGGCUUAAAGAGUUCGUAGGUGGUUGAAAAAGUUGGUGGUGAAAUCCCAGAGCUUAACUCUGGAACUGCCAUCAAAACUUUUCAGCUAGAGUUUGAUAGAGGAAAGCAGAAUUUCUAGUGUAGAGGUGAAAUUCGUAGAUAUUAGAAAGAAUACCAAUUGCGAAGGCAGCUUUCUGGAUCAUUACUGACACUGAGGAACGAAAGCAUGGGUAGCGAACAGGAUUAGAUACCCUGGUAGUCCACGCCGUAAACGAUGACAACUAGCUGUUGGGAGACAAUGUCUU
rnacentral:rRNA from 1 species